CGCAAGCCUGACGGAGCCAGACCGCGUGAGGGAAGAAAGUCUUUGGAUCGUAAACCUCUUUUCUCAAGGAAGAAUUAAUGACGGUACUUGAGGAAUCAGCAUCGGCUAACUCCGUGCCAGCAGCCGCGGUAAGACGGAGGAUGCAAGCGUUAUCCGGAAUUAUUGGGCGUAAAGCGUCCGCAGGUGGCGAUUCAAGUCUGCUGUCAAAGCACGGGGCUUAACUCCGUUAAGGCAGUGGAAACUGAAUGGCUAGAGUGCCGUAGGGGUAGAGGGAAUUCCCGGUGUAGCGGUGAAAUGCGUAGAGAUCGGGAAGAACAUCGGUGGCGAAAGCGCUCUACUGGACGGCAACUGACACUCAGGGACGAAAGCUAGGGGAGCG
rnacentral:rRNA from 1 species